rnacentral:ncRNA from 2 species
AUACGAUCAAAUGGGAGCCUGGAGAUAGCCAAGCUGAGAGGGUGGAGAACUCUGCCACCGACCAAUAACCUGAUCUGGAUAAUGCCAGCGUAGGGAUGGACAAGAUUCGCUUU